rnacentral:rRNA from 1 species
GACGUAGGGCGCGAGCGUUGUCCGGAUUUAUUGGGCGUAAAGAGCUCGUAGGCGGCUUGUCGCGUCGACUGUGAAAUCCCGCGGCUCAACCGCGGGUCUGCAGUCGAUACGGGCAGGCUAGAGUUCGGUAGGGGGAGACUGGAAUUCCUGGUGUAGCGGUGAAAUGCGCAGAUAUCAGGAGGAACACCGAUGGCGAAGGCAGGGUCUCUGGGCCGAUACUGACGCUGAGGAGCGAAAGCGUGGGGAGCGAACAGG